AUUGAACGCUGGCGGCAUGGCUAAAACAUGCAAGUCGAACGGACCCGCAAGGGUUAGUGGCGGAAGGGUGAGGAAUAGUAUCGAACGUACCCAGAGGUGGGAGAUAGGCAUGGGAAACUGUGCGUAAUACCCCAUGAUCUCGGAAGAGCAAAGGCGCAAGUCGCCUUGGGAGCGGCGAUAUUCCUAUCAGGUAGUUGGCGGGGUAAUGGCCCACCAAGCCGAAGACGGGUAGCAGGUGUGAGAGCACGGCCUGCCACAUCGAGACUGAGACACUGCUCGGACUCCUACGGGAGGCUGCAGUAACGAAUAUUCCGCAAUGCACGAAAGUGUGACGGAGCAAUGCCGCGUGCAGGAUGAAGCAGCUUCGCUGUGUAAACUGCUGUCAGGAGUUACUAACACUGAAGAACUCCAGAGGAAGGACCGGCUAAUCUCGUGCCAGCAGCCGCGGUAAU
rnacentral:rRNA from 1 species